rnacentral:rRNA from 1 species
GAUGAACGCUGGCGGCGUGCCUAAUACAUGCGAGUCGAGCGAACAGAUGAGGAGCUUGCUCCUCUGACGUUAGCGGCGGACGGGUGAGUAACACGUGGAUAACCUACCUAUAAGACUGGGAUAACUUCGGGAAACCGGAGCUAAUACCGGAUAAUAUAUUGAACCGCAUGGUUCAAUAGUGAAAGACGGUUUUGCUGUCACUUAUAGAUGGAUCCGCGCCGCAUUAGCUAGUUGGUAAGGUAACGGCUUACCAAGGCAACGAUGCGUAGCCGACCUGAGAGGGUGAUCGGCCACACUGGAACUGAGACACGGUCCAGACUCAUACGGGAGGCAGCAGUAGGGAAUCUUCCGCAAUGGGCGAAAGCCUGACGGAGCAACGCCGCGUGAGUGAUGAAGGUCUUCGGAUCGUAAAACUCUGUUAUUAGGGAAGAACAAAUGUGUAAGUAACUAUGCACGUCUUGACGGUACCUAAUCAGAAAGCCACGGCUAACUACGUG